GAAAGCCUGACGGAGCAACGCCGCGUGAGUGAUGAAGGUCUUCGGAUCGUAAAACUCUGUUAUUAGGGAAGAACAUAUGUGUAAGUAACUGUGCACAUCUUGACGGUACCUAAUCAGAAAGCCACGGCU
rnacentral:rRNA from 1 species